UCCCUGGUGGUCCAGUGGCUAAGACUCCACGCUCCCACUGUGGGGGCCCAGGUUCAAUCCCUGGUUGGGGAA
rfam:Ovis aries breed Texel chromosome 9, whole genome shotgun sequence.